UGUCAACGAAGUCUUUGUGAAGCAAAUGAAUUUAUCAUACUUCAGAGAAGACCUUCCUGAUUUUGGAGUAUCCUAUAAGUCCUGGAGAUUGAACCAAUCAGUGCCAACUGUACARUUAAAAGGAACACCAGGUGAUGUACUGUAUAGAUACGUGGAUGGACAGACUGCWUUGUAUUUCACUGGKAAACAAGGAUAUGCACAUAUUCCUCUUGUYGAUAUCAAUCCCG